rnacentral:rRNA from 1 species
GCUUACGGCCAUACCACCUUAGGCACGCCCGAUCUCGUCUGAUCUCGGAAGCUAAGCAGGGUCGGGCCUGGUUAGUACUUGGAUGGGUGACCGUCUGGGAAUACCAGGUGCUGUAAGCA